UAGAAAUGGGUUUAAUUAAACAUUUAAUGGCAAACAGCAGACGCGGUUGAUCAACUAAAAAGGUACGCGGAUGGUUUUCUUUUGACAAGUUGGUUUGUGUUGGCAUCCAGUAUUUUAUAGCCUGUGUAGAGACAUCAAAUGAAAAGUAGAUGAAUAAAAACUGUGACUAUGGAAAACAACAAAUAUUUGAAAUGAAGGUAUGCGGCUGUUUAUGUUUUCGUUCGUUGUAUAUUUACAUGCAGUCUUUCAGAAACGGAGGUAUAUCAAAUCCCGAGUGAAAUGAAAUUUUGAAGAUUUAAAAUAAUCGCAAGCCACGUUAGAAAUGCUCCAUACGCGGAUGUCAGUCUUUUCUUUCGUUCGUAUUUGUAUUCGGUCUUUCAGAAAUGGCUUUAUCAAGUUGAAGUGCAAAAUGACAAAUCCAUGGUCAUGGAGUCUAGAAAGGUACGGCAACGUUUUCUUUUUAUAGUUCGUUUGUAUUUGCAUGAAAUCUUUUAGAAAUAGAUUUGAACAUUCACUGGAAAAUAACAGAAGCACUCGAUAAACUAAAAAGGUACGCGGUUGUUUUUCUUUUCGUUUGUUUGUGUUCGCAUCAAUUUUUUUUAGAAUUGGGUUUAAAAUUCAUUGACAUUGCAUUGGAAAACAGCAGACGUGAUUGAAUAAAAAUACGCGGAUGGUUUUCUUUCCCGUUUGUGUUUCCGUCCAGUCUUCAUAGCUUGUGUUGAGACGUCCAAUUCCAACUGAAGUGAAAAGCUAGAUGAAUGAGUAUUGAAUAUUACCAGAACAUUGACAUCCAGACUGUGAGAAACAAACACAUUUGAAAUACUGAAAGGUACGCGGCUAUUUUUCGUUUGUUCCUUGUAUUUACAUGCAGUCUUUCAGAGAGGAGUUAUCAUUGAUAUUCCGAGUGUGAUAUUCCGAGUGAAUUGAAAUUUCGAAGAUUGAAAGCAAUCGCAAGCCAACAUCCAGUGGCAGUGGAAAAAACAAAUGCAUUUGAAACAUAUAAAGCUACGUGGAUGUCCUUUUCGUUGGUUUGCGUUUUCCAUGCAGUCUAACAGAAAUGGCGUUAUCAAACUCACAGAUUAAACGCGGUCGAUAAACCAAGACUCAAAGGUACGCUUUUUUCCCGUUCGUUUUUGCGUACGAUCUUUUAGAAAUGGGUUAAUCGAAAUGCAAUUUUGGAGAUUGAAAACAAUCGCAACGGCAAAUAUCCAGUGGAAACUUUGAAACACUGGAAAGUAUGCGGAUGUUGUUCUCUUCAAGUCUAUCUAGCCUGUCCACAGAUGUCCAACUGCAAGCCAGAGGAACACCUGUGCAAAACAACAGUACAUUUGAAAUAAUAAAGGUAUGCGGCUGUUUUUCUUUUCGUUGUAUUAUUGUCCAUGCAGUUUUUCAGAAAAGGAGGUAUCAAAUCCACGCGGAAAUCGAAUUUUGAAGAUUUAAAGCAAUCGCAAGCCAGCAUCCAGCGGAAAACAGCAAACACGUUUGAAAUACCAAAAAGGUACGCGGAUGUUCUUUUCGUUUGUAUUUUCGUCCAGUCUUUCAGAAAUGACUUUAUCCGAAUGGACUGAAGUUUAAAAGAUUGAAACAUAGUAAGUGGAAAACAAGAAACGUGGUUGAUAGACUAAAAAGGUACACGAAUGUUUUGUCUUCUUUCGUUCGUUUGUAUUUGCAUAAAAUCUUUUAGAAAUGGGUUUAAACAUUUAAUGGCAAACAGCAGACGCGGUUGAUAAACUAAAAAGGUACGCGGAUGGUUUUCUUUUGACAAGUUGGUUUGUGUUUGCAUCCAGUCUAUUAUAGCCUGUGUAGAGACGUCAAAUGAAAAGUAGAUGAAUAAAUACUAUGUCUGUGAGUAUGAGAACACCAGUGGAAAACAACAAACGCAUUUGAAAUUAAGGUAUGCGGCUGUUUAUAUUUUCGUUGUAUAUUUACAUGCAGUCUUUUAGAAACGGAGGUAUAUCAAAUCCCAAUUGAAAUGAAAUUUUGAAGAUUUAAAACAAUGGCAAGCCACGUUAGAAAUACUCUAGGUACGCCGAUGUCAGUCUUUUCCUUCGUUCGUAUUUGCAUCCAGACUCCAGUCUUUCAGAAAUGGCUUUAUCAAAUUCCGAUUGAAAUCAAUUUCUCCAACAUACAGUGGAAAAUGACAAAUGCGGUCUAAAAAGGUACGGCAACGUUUUCUUUUUAGUUCGUUUGUAUUUGCAUGAAAUCUUUUAGAAAUAGAUUUGAACAUUCAUUCAAUGGAAAAUAGCAGAACGCCAGAAGCACUCGAUAAACUAAAAAGGUACGCGAAUGUUUUUCUUUUCGUUUGUGUUCGCAUCAAUUCUUUUAGAAUUGGGUUUAAAAUUCACUGGAAAACAGCAAACGUGUCGAUUAGCUAAAAAGAUACGCGGAUGGUUUUCUUUCCGUUCGUGAUUCCGUCCAGUCUUCAUGAGCUUGUGUUGAGACGUCCAAUUCCAACUGAAAUGAAAAGGUAGAUGAAUGAGUAUUGAAUACUCACUAUUGAAUACUACCAGAACAUUAACAUCCAGACUGUGAGAAACAAACAUGCACAUUUGAAAUACUGAAAGGUACGCGGCUAUUUUCCGUUUGUUCCUUGUAUUUACAUGCAGUCUUUCAGAGACGAGUUGUCAUUGAUAUUCCGAGUGAAUUGAAGUUUCGAAGAUUGAAAGCAAUCGCAAGCCAACUCCAGUGGGGAAAAAAUGCAUUUGAAAUGUUGAAAGCUACGCGGAUGUCCUUUUCGUUGGUCCGCGUUUUCCAUGCAAUCUUACAGAAUGGCGUUAUCAAACUCGACAGAUUAAACGCGGUACGCCGAAGGUACGCUGAAGUUUUUUCCCCGUUCGUUCGUUUUUGUGUACGAUCUUUUAGAAAUGGGUUUAUCGAAAUGCAAUUUUGGAGAUUGAAAACAAUUACAACGGCAAAUAGCGAGUGGAAACUUUUAAACACUGUCACUGGUAUGCGGAUGUUGUUCUCUUCGAGUCUAUCUAGCCUGUCUACAGACGUUAUAUUCCAACUGCAAGCCAUCAGAACACUUGUGCAAAACAACAGUACAUUUGAAAUAAUAAAGGUAUGCGGCUGUUUUUCUUUUCGUUGUAUUCUUGUCCAUGCAGUUUUUCAGAAAAGGAGGUAUAUCAAAUCCACGCGGAAAUCGAAUUUUGAAGAUUUAAAGUAAUCGCAAUCCAGCGGAAAACAAACACGUUUGAAAUACCAAAAAGGUACGCGGAUGUUCUUUUCGUUUGUAUUUUCAUCCAGUCUUUUAGAAACGGCUUCAUCCGAAUGGACUGAAGUUUAAAGAUUAAGAUAGUAAGUGGAAAACAAGAAAUGUGGUUGAUAGACUAAAAAGGUACACGAAUGUUUUGUUUUCUUUCGUUCGUUUGUAUUUGCAUAAAAUCUUUUAGAAAUGGGUUUAAACAUUUGAUGGAAAACAGCAGACGCGGUUGAUAAACUAAAAAGGUAUGCGGAUGGUUUUCUUUUGACAAGUUGGUUUGUGUUUGCAUCCAGUCUUUCAUAGCCUGUGUAGAGACAUCAAAAUGAAAAGUAGAUGGAUAAAUACUAUGAGAUCACCAGUGGAAAAGAACGAACACAUUUGAAAUUAAGGUAUGCGGCUGUUUAUGUUUUCGUUCGUUGUUUUUUUACAUGCAGUCUUUCAGAAACGGAGGCAUAUCAAAUCUUGAGGGAAAUGAAAUUUUGAAGAUUUAAAACAAUCGCAAGCCCCGUUUGAAAUACUCCAGGUACGCGGAUGUUAGUCUUUUCGUUCGUAUUUGAAUCCAGUCUUUCAGAAAUGGCUUUAUCAAAUUCCGACUGGACUUCAAAGAUUGAAAAAUACAGUGGAAAACAUGAAACGUGGUUGAUAGACUAAAAAGGUGCACACAAAUGUUUUUAUGUUUCGAGCGGUUUGUAUUUGCAUAAAAUCUUUUAGAAAUGGGUUUAAACAAUCAAUGAGAAACAGCAGACAUGGGUGGUUUUCUUUUCGUUUGUUUGUGUUUGCAAAUCCAGUCUCUCCUAGUUUGUGCACAUGAAAAGUAGGUGAAUGGAAAC
rnacentral:lncRNA from 1 species